CUUACAGAGGGGCUACGACCUGUCCUCAUGGCAGGUGAAGGGGGAGGGGGAUCUGAAUGAAUAAGACGUGGUUUCUGUUCUUCAAAAACUUCAGUUUUCAAAAUCCCCACGAUCAAGGAAGAAGGAACUGAAGUUCAGAGGUAUUUUCUGACUUGCCCUAAGUCACACACUGCUGGGACUAAAGCCAGGUCUGAUUCUUUUCUGAAUAAAUGGACACCCAUUACCAUACACAGGAAACCAUCUCAAUGUUGGAAGAGCCAUCGGGCACAGCAAAAGAAACUGUGGACAGCAAAGCAGGCUCAGAACUUCUCUCUUACCCAGUUUUAUGAAUGAAUAAGUCAAACCAAGUGACAUUUCCUAAGGUUCUAUUUGGUGCUCCAAAUGAAAACUUCUUGGUUUCAGGGUUACAUAGAAAAGUAAAGCCAAUUAGUAUCCCUGGGCUACUGGGCUCACACGUGAACUCCUUCUGCAACAAGCCUUACUGUUUAAAGAGAAGAGCUCUGCCAACUACAGAGAUCUUACUUAAGCCAUCUUCAUCAAUUACCAACUAUUAAAGCUGCAAAUUCAUCUUUCAGAUCAGAAACAAGAAGCUGAGAGUAAAAAAACUUGCCAAUCAGAGAAGGCCCCAAAUUACCAGUCACUCCUUGUCUCAGCUCUCCUGGCUUGUUUUGAAAUUUAGAUCUGCAGUAACUGGUUCAUAAAGAAGAGCAAAAGGUACUCCUUUAGAAUCUCCGUUUAUUGUAUUUUAUUAUUUUUUUUUUGUCUUUACCUUUUUGCUGGAGACUCCCUAAAAGAGACCCAAGGCUUUUCCCCUCCUAACAGUACAACACAACUGUCCAUGUAGACUUUAGAUACCAUGUUAUCAUCAAAACCACCAGUGAACGGUUCCUAGGCUCGUCUCUCCCAUCACCCAUCUCCAGAGAGACUUUUGAAACAAAAACCUUAGCAAUCACCUUGGCCCCAAACUUCACCCCAUCUUGGAAGGGAGGGGAGAGUGUUCCGACUUACUGACGACGAAGUGUGGCUGGGGUUUGAGCACCCUUCUGGUUAGGCUGGUGAUGAGGGUGUGGGAAGAGGGCUGUGCCGUGACAUACACCCCCAUCCCACAGGGACCCAGAAACAGGAAGGCAAUUCAGGUACGUAUAGUGAUGUGAGAUCGAUGAACC
rnacentral:lncRNA from 1 species